GGGGGCGGGGGCGUGAGCGUGAGGAUGGUGCUCGCGCCGCGGGGUGAGGGGCUACCGGCGCAGGCGCGUAGCGGCGCUGCCGGGAUGCGGCUUUCCCGCCCGGCGGGUGAGGCGCGGUGCCGCGUCCUGGCCGUGGUGGGGGACGGCUGGCCUCGGCAGCCCGCUGGGCCUGUGGUGUGUGAGGCGAGCGGUGCUGCUGGGGGCUGGUGCCGCUCUCAGGGGGCUCCGCUUGGUGGGGCCGGCGCGGCCCCGCCCGCAGCCGAGGCGGGAGCGAGGGGCGCUGCUGUGAGGGGGCCGCUGGCCCGGCAUGGCGGCGCCAGCCCCUGCGGCCUGGGAGGGCCGUGAGGGCAGUGGGGCGGGCCGCCCCCGCUGUCUACUCUGGGCGCACGGGCACGGCGGGGGGCUGCUGGGCAUGGCUUCGUCCGGGCUGACGGGAUUUUUUCCCUGUAACCCUGAGCGCGGUGCCCUGACCCUUCGGGAUCAAAGCAGCGCAGGGUUGGGUGCUUAGGAAUACGUCUUUUCAGGCCAAGCGUGACCAUUAAACAUUCUCUUGUUUGUACCACUACAUAGUGCUUACAUUAAAAAGACUGUGUUGCAUUUCUUCUCUUUCAGGUUAAAUUGUUAUGAAUUGUUUUAAACGCUUCUUGGAAGAUGAUGUAUUAUAACCUUUUAAGAGAAAAGGAGUAAGUGAGGCACAGCAUAAGCUUUCAGCAAACUGGUGAUGGGCCUUAGCUGCCUCAGUGUCCUCGCACAAUUCCUUUCUACCUAAAGGAAAAUAUGUCAGUGAGAGAGAGACAAAUAAGAUGCAAUGAAAAGGAAUGAAAGACAUGCAUCUGUGAUCUGUAAUGGAGUGUGGCAGUGAAUGCUGUUUUCAGCUUGUGCAUUUGUCGCCCAGCUGGCUGGGCAGGAGCACUGGUGAAAUGUAUACUCUUCAGUUAAUACUAUGUCAAAGUUACUGUCCUAAUGACCUUCAUCUGGGCCAAGCAACUAGAGAGUUAAGCUAUAGAAAGACAGCAAAAAAGGACUGCAGCAAGAAAAUGUGACUUAUUCAUCCCAUGCUUUCCUGCCAGAUUGCAUUUAUGCAUGCUGCCCUACCCUUUAUGCUUCUGUGGAUGUGAUUCAUGUGCACAAACAGAGCCUGAAGUUCUUACAGUCAUGCAGUUUUUGAGCAUGGAAUAGGAAACAAGAGACAGGUACCAUAAGAUCAUCAACUUAGAUCUUCUGGCCAGCCAGGAAAAUGAAGCAUCUCUUCCUCCAACAUGUAAUGUCUUCCCUGAACAUACCAGAAGAUACAACAGGUUUGCAGCCCAGCCCAGGUGGAUUCAGGCUUCCUGCCAGCAGUGUUUCCAGAGCUGAUUCUACUGUAUCCACAUUCACACGUCCCUCUUCUGCAUACCUGAGGGAUAUCACCUGACUUUUAAGACUGCCUGCCUGGAGCUUCUUAAAUUAAAGCGCCAGGGUGAGAAAGUUUUACAGCAUCUUCUCUUGCACUGGUCCUUGGAGCUCUUCAGACAGCCCUUGCCACUGACACAGGGGCUCAGUGCCAACACUACUGGACAUUUUUGGCCACCGAGACCCAGGACAUCAGUCUGCAUUUAGAUGUAAGGCCUCCACGUACAGUAACUUCCAGAGAAGUCGAGGAACCCAUGUGGCAAAAUGUGCCAUUAUGUCUUACUAACAUAGAGUGGAAGUGGGCUGAAUAUACAGAAUAAAAGUAAUAAUCCAAAUUUAUAACCUUGUAGUCUGACUACAAGUUAUUGUACCCAUACUUUGCAGAAGUCCAAUUAAACCAGUGACCUGGCUAGAGGAAAAUCCAACAUGACCUACAUCCAGAUUAAAAUUCUUGCAGGAUUUUAAUGGACUUAGGUCUAAACUCGAAUAUUAGCACGGAGCUUUUAGGGGAGAUCUCCCCACUGCACUAUAACAAUGCUGAAAUAUCUUUACGAGGAAGUAUUUGUAGAUGAUCCCUCUUCUGUUUAGGGAUGACACAGAACUGGUAUAAUAAGUACACCACCCCUUUUGUGGCCAAUGUGCACUGGGGAUCAGGGGAAGAGAGCCAAAGCAGAGUGAGGUAAUCCACAGCUGACAGAAAAGGCCACCUGGGGAAGCUGGGACAGGACACAGUGAGCCACAGCGCUGACCUUUGUGUUGGAGCCGCAGCAGGGGAAGCCAGUUCUGCUUUCCCUCUCCCGUGGCCUGAUGCAGCUGAGAAGAGGCAAGAGCUCUGGUCCAGAAGCACCCACAGCAACACCCACGCAGGAUAAAUAGUAACUCACCAGAACCCAUACAUAUUCUUCCACUGCUUAGUUUAAAUCCAGACUGAUUUUGCCAAUGUAAUUUUCAAACGUCGUAUCCAAAUUUUAAAUGUUUAUUUUAAUUUGACAUCAAACCAUUGAAGAAACAAUUGUUUUCAUGCUGUUGUGUGCACAAAGCAGCCUACAGGUCACCACAUACCCUGGAAACCCUGCAGGUCUAAUUCUGAAGCCAUUUCUGCUUUGUUUCACACAUUUAAAGAUGCUAGCCUGUAGAAACUUUACAUCUCUUGUUGUGCUUGACAGAUUUUUCUGAUUUCUCAUGCAAUAUUUUAAUGUCUGCUGUCUGUCCCCUGUCUUUACGCUUGCACUUCACUGCUGUUCCUGAACUUCCCCUCCCACUUUGUCAAGGAUUUUGUACAUCAUCAUUUGGUUUUAUUUCUUCAUGGAAGGACAAAAUUUUUAUUUCAUUUGAGGCACACAGUUCUUCACACAUGUACUUACAGAUGGUGUUUGAAGAGGAGUAACACCUGCAGACAGCAGCACUCACACCAUCCUAAACGUUUCUGCAAGUCCCGGAGGCUCCCAGCCCCUCAGCCCAGCUGUGUUUAAACAUACACAGCGACAGACAAGAACCAGCUUUACACUCAUACACAUUCCUAGAGGCUUCUCCAACGCCCACCUUUAAAUGCAUACCACUUCAAAUGCGGAAUGAAAAUUUAAAAUUAAAUAAAUACGGCCCCAUCUUCUAGAAAAAA